rnacentral:misc_RNA from 1 species
GACAAAGAUGUAUCCACCGAGCACUUCAUUUCUGGGCAGCGUCUCUGUUGCUGGCAAUGUCUUGAAUCUUUUGUCAGCGGCAUUGAUGGAGUUAGCAUUUUCACCAAUGUUAUUGUUGGCACUGCUGUAAUUGGUAAGAUCUUUGUUGACAUAGUCAUUGCCACUGUACUUGGUACCAGGCAGAUUUCCAGCAACAUUUGUAUUGUUUUUGCCAUAAACUGCACUCAUGUUGUAAGUUCCAUUCCUCAAUGAACUUUUGUUAACAGGGUCAGUAAUUUUUGAAUCCAGGCUCAACAUGUUAAAGUUGAAGCUUUCAAAUUUGUUAUCUUCCUGAAAACCAAACUUUUCCCUUGGCCUUGCAUCAAGAGAGCUCUUUGAAAAAUCAAGGUUAUUCAGGUGCUCCCCCUUUGAUCUUGUCUGCUCAGCCAGUUUAGAUGCAGCCCAUAACCAUUUAUGAUCCUCAGAGACUUUCGUCUGACCUCGCAGCUCAUCUCCCAAUUGCCAAAAGCUAUAUGAACCAUCCAUCUUGCAGCACUUGAUUGUGAUCACGAUGAAUGAACAAAGAUCCCUCAGAGUAAGAAGCCCUAGAUUUAGGGAUCCAGAAUUGUGAGAGAGAACAGUCUUUAUAUCUGCUUGGCUGAGAAGCCGAGCGACA